rnacentral:rRNA from 1 species
GAUGAACGCUGGCGGCGUGCUUAACACAUGCCAGUCGAACGAAGCAUUUGCGACAGAUUUUUUCGGAAUGAAGUUGCUUAUGACUGAGUGGCGGACGGGUGAGUAACGCGUGGGUAACCUGCCUUGUACUGGGGGAUAGCAGCUGGAAACGGCUGGUAAUACCGCAUAAGCGCACAAUGUUGCAUGACAUGGUGUGAAAAACUCCGGUGGUAUAAGACGGACCCGCGUCUGAUUAGCUAGUUGGUGAGAUAACAGCCCACCAAGGCGACGAUCAGUAGCCGACCUGAGAGGGUGACCGGCCACAUUGGGACUGAGACACGGCCCAGACUCCUACGGGAGGCAGCAGUGGGGAAUAUUGCAUAAUGGAGGAAACUCUGAUGCAGCGACGCCGCGUGAGUGAAGAAGUAAUUCGUUAUGUAAAGCUCUAUCAGCAGGGAAGAUAGUGACGGUACCUGACUAAGAAGCUCCGGCUAAAUACGUG